rnacentral:rRNA from 1 species
GCUGGAUUCGCUGUAAUCGCGCAUCAGCCACGGCGCGGUGAAUACGUUCCCGGGCCUUGUACACACCGCCCGUCAAGCCAUGGAAGCCGGGGGUGCCUGAAGUGCGCUGCCGCGAGGAGCGCCCUAGGGUAAAACCGGUGACUGGGGCUAAGUCGUAACAAGGUAUC